rnacentral:rRNA from 1 species
UCUGGUGACAAUGGCAAGGAGGUCACACCUGUUCCCAUGCCGAACACAGAAGUUAAGCUCCUUAGCGCCGAUGGUAGUCGGACUGACGU